rfam:Gossypium hirsutum cultivar TM-1 chromosome 9, whole genome shotgun sequence
AUCCCAUAAUGAGGAAACCUACAAAGUAAUUCCUUGAAUCUUUCCCAUGCCUUGUACAAGGAUUCAUCAUCCAAUUGUGAAAAAGUGGUUAUCUCAUUUCGCAACUU